rnacentral:rRNA from 1 species
GCCAGACUCCUACGGGAGGCAGCAGUGGGGAAUAUUGCACAAUGGGGGAAACCCUGAUGCAGCGACGCCGCGUGAGUGAGGAAGUAUUUCGGUAUGUAAAGCUCUAUCAGCAGGGAAGAAAAAAUGACGGUACCUGACUAAGAAGCACCGGCUAAAUACGUGCCAGCAGCCGCGGUAAUACGUAUGGUGCAAGCGUUAUCCGGAUUUACUGGGUGUAAAGGGAGCGCAGGCGGUACGGCAAGUCUGAUGUGAAAGCCCGGGGCUCAACCCCGGUACUGCAUUGGAAACUACCGGACUGGAGUGUCGGAGGGGUAAGUGGAAUUCCUAGUGUAGCGGUGAAAUGCGUAGAUAUUAGGAGGAACACCAGUGGCGAAGGCGGCUUACUGGACUGUAACUGACGUUGAGGCUCGAAAGCGUGGGGAGCAAACAGGAUUAGAUACCCUUGUAGA